CAAACGACUCUCGCCAACGGAUAUCUCGGCUCACGCAUCGAUGAAGAACGUACCAAAAUGCGAUACCUUGGUGUGAAUUGCAGAAUCCCGGGAACCAUCGAGUUUUUGAACGCAAGUUGCGCCCGAAGCCAAUUUGGUUGAGGGCACGUCAUGCCUGGGCGUCACGCA
rnacentral:rRNA from 1 species